rnacentral:rRNA from 1 species
AGUGAACGCUGGCGGUAGGCCUAACACAUGCAAGUCGAACGGCAGCACAGUAAGAGCUUGCUCUUACGGGUGGCGAGUGGCGGACGGGUGAGGAAUACAUCGGAAUCUACUUUUUCGUGGGGGAUAACGUAGGGAAACUUACGCUAAUACCGCAUACGACCUACGGGUGAAAGCAGGGGAUCUUCGGACCUUGCGCGAUUGAAUGAGCCGAUGUCGGAUUAGCUAGUUGGCGGGGUAAAGGCCCACCAAGGCGACGAUCCGUAGCUGGUCUGAGAGGAGGAUCAGCCGCACUGGAACUGAGACACGGUCCAGACUCCUACGGGGGGGAGCAGUGGGGAAUAUUGGACAAUGGGCGCAAACCUGAUCCAGCCAUACCGCGUGGGUGAAGAAGGCCUUCGGGUGGUAAAGCCCUUUUGUUGUGAAAGAAAAGCAGCAGGUUAAUACCCCGCUGUUCUGACGGUACCCAAAGAAUAAGCACCGGCUAACUUCGUG